AACUUUGAGAACAACUCGAUCACUCGGCUCGUGGAUCCAUGAAGACCGCAGCUAAAUGCGCGUCAGAAUGUAAACUGCAGGGCACAUGAACACCGACAAGUUGAGCUGUUCGGUGGGAGCGCACGCGAGAGUGGAC
rnacentral:rRNA from 2 species